rnacentral:rRNA from 1 species
GUAGGUGGCAAGCGUUGUCCGGAAUUAUUGGGCGUAAAGCGCGCGCAGGCGGUUCUUUAAGUCUGAUGUGAAAGCCCACGGCUCAACCGUGGAGGGUCAUUGGAAACUGGAGAACUUGAGUACAGAAGAGGAAAGCGGAAUUCCACGUGUAGCGGUGAAAUGCGUAGAGAUGUGGAGGAACACCAGUGGCGAAGGCGACUUUCUGGUCUGUAACUGACGCUGAGGCGCGAAAGCGUGGGGAGCAAACAGGAUUAGAUACCCUGGUAGUCCACGCCGUAAACGAUGAGUGCUAAGUGUUAGGGGGUUUCCGCCCCCCUUAGUGCUGCAGCUAACGCAUUAAGCACUCCGCCUGGGAGUACGGCCGCAAGGCUG